GACAGAGGAUGCAAGCGUUGUCCGGAAUCAUUGGGCGUAAAGAGCGUGUAGGCGGCUUGUUAAGUCUUGCGUGAAAUCUCGGGGCUCAACCCCGAGCGGUCGUGAGAAACUGGCAGGCUAGAGUGCGGGAGAGGAGAGUGGAAUUCCUGGUGUAGCGGUGAAAUGCGCAGAUAUCAGGAAGAACACCCGUGGCGAAGGCGGCUCUCUGGAACGCAACUGACGCUGAGACGCGAAAGCGUGGGGAGCAAACAGG
rnacentral:rRNA from 1 species